CGGGACGUGGCGAAGUUUGGUAUCGCGCCUGGUUUGGGACCAGGAUGCCGCAGGUUCGAGUCCUGUCGUCCCGACCA
rnacentral:tRNA from 1 species